GACAUCUUCUGCCAAUCUAAGAGAUUAGACGUUCCCUUCGGGGAACAGAAUGACAGGUGGUGCAUGGUUGUCGUCAGCUCGUGUCGUGAGAUGUUGGGUUAAGUCCCGCAACGAGCGCAACCCUUAUUAUCAGUUGCCAGCAUUCAGUUGGGUACUCUGGUGAGACUGCCGGUGACAAACCGGAGGAAGGUGGGGAUGACGUCAAAUCAUCAUGCCCCUUAUGACCUGGGCUACACACGUGCUACAAUGGACGGUACAACGAGUCGCAAAGUCGCGAGGCUAAGCUAAUCUCUUAAAGCCGUUCUCAGUUCGGAUUGUAGGCUGCAACUCGCCUACAUGAAGUUGGAAUCGCUAGUAAUCGCGGAUCAGCAUGCCGCGGUGAAUACGUUCCCGGGCCUUGUACACACCGCCCGUCACACCAUGAGAGUUUGUAACACCCAAAGCCGGUGAGAUAACCUUCGGGAGUCAGCCGUCUAAGGUGGGACAGAUGAUUAGGGUGAA
rnacentral:rRNA from 2 species